rnacentral:rRNA from 1 species
CCUACGGGAGGCAGCAGUGGGGAAUUUUGGACAAUGGGCGCAAGCCUGAUCCAGCCAUGCCGCGUGCAGGAUGAAGGCCUUCGGGUUGUAAACUGCUUUUGUACGGAACGAAAAGGUCUUUUUUAAUAAAGAGGGCCCAUGACGGUACCGUAAGAAUAAGCACCGGCUAACUACGUGCCAGCAGCCGCGGUAAUACGUAGGGUGCAAGCGUUAAUCGGAAUUACUGGGCGUAAAGCGUGCGCAGGCGGUAAUGUAAGACAGAUGUGAAAUCCCCGGGCUCAACCUGGGAACUGCAUUUGUGACUGCAUUGCUGGAGUGCGGCAGAGGGGGAUGGAAUUCCGCGCGUAGCAGUGAAAUGCGUAGAUAUGCGGAGGAACACCGAUGGCGAAGGCAAUCCCCUGGGCCUGCACUGACGCUCAUGCACGAAAGCGUGGGGAGCAAACAGGAUUAGAUACCCUGGUAGUCCACGCCCUAAACGAUGUCAACUGGUUGUUGGGGUCUUUCAUUGUACUCAGUAACGAAGACUACGCGUGAGUGACGCCGUGGGAGGUACGGCCGCGAGGUAGAAACGUACGAAAGUAGUAAGUUAGUACGGCGUAGAGACGUUACGCCGACGGACGACGACGAGGGGAGGUAGG